rnacentral:lncRNA from 1 species
CACUAUAAUACUAUCAAUUUCAAGCAUUUAAUGCUCCCAAGUUUUUUGCCACUAAAUCUACCCUUUUAACUAUUUCUACCUCUUAGAUCAUGUUAUUCCACCAAUCACUCACUAAACUAUAAAAAACCACUAUUAUUCUAAUUGCAUAUUGCUUCAUUCAAGAACUAAAAAUUUAAUAGCGCAAAUAACUUAGUGCUUCUAACUGCAUAUUCCUUCAUCCAAGGACUAAAAAUUUAAUAGCAGAAAUGACUUAGUGCUAUUAAAGGUAUUUUAGCAUAUANGUGUGUGUGUGUGUUCCACUAUAAUACUAUCAAUUUCAAGCAUUUAAUGCUCCCAAGUUUUUUGCCACUAAAUCUACCCUUUUAACUAUUUCUACCUCUUAGAUCAUGUUAUUCCACCAAUCACUCACUAAACUAUAAAAAACCACUAUUAUUCUAAUUGCAUAUUGCUUCAUUCAAGAACUAAAAAUUUAAUAGCGCAAAUAACUUAGUGCUUCUAACUGCAUAUUCCUUCAUCCAAGGACUAAAAAUUUAAUAGCAGAAAUGACUUAGUGCUAUUAAAGGUAUUUUAGCAUAUAUGGAAAUUAUAGUAUCUAUAGUGUUUACUAUUAAGCAACUGAAUUUUGAUGAAAUGUUUGAUAUAUAUAUAUAUUAUGUACAGACACACCUCAAAUGAUCUAUAAUUUCAACAUAGAGAUAAUACAAGAAAAAUAUCAAAGUGCUCGUGUAUAUUAUACGAAGGUAUUAACUUAUUCAAAAAUAUACUUUUAAAGUAAGAAACAUGAUGAUAAGAUUCGAACUUAAGAUCUUACAUUCUGAUACCGUGUAAAAUAACUAAUUAUUAUCGAUAAAAACCUAAUAGUAUUUUAAUGAAAUAAUUGCCUAUAUAUCUUUCAAAACUUUAAAAAUUUCUCAUUUAUCCUUACUUUUUUUUCUUUCCAACAUACCCCUCAUAUGUUCCUCCGCUCUUAUAUGUUCCUCCGUUAUUUCAAAAUAACCCUACAGUUAUCAUCCGUUAAAUUAACCUGUGUUAAAUAUAAGUUAAAUAUCUAUUAGAGUUAAAAAAAAAAAAAUCAAAAUGCCUCUUUUGUCCUUAACUUAAAGGCAAUAAAAAAUGUUGGUGAUGGCAGAAAGGUAUAUUUGAAAAGAUUAAAAAGCAAAAUACUUUUUGUACCCCUAACUUAAGGACAAAUAAAAAAGUCAAUAAAGUUAGAAGAAUAUAUUUGAAAUGACAAAAUAGUAAUUUCAUACAAAUAAUAGCUAUUGCUAACAGUUUAUUAACGAAAUUUAAUUCUAAAAUUAUAUUUAAAAUAGUUUGAACAUAAAAAAAAGUAUUUCAAUAUUAACCUUCUUAAAAAAAUGAAUUAGAAAGUCGAAAAUUUUUCAAGAAUAUAUAAACAAUUGCCCCUAUUUUAACGGGUAUCAAUUCCUAAUUUCUGUGAGCACUAAUAC